UACGGAGGAGGCAAGCGUUAUCCGGAAUUAUUGGGCGUAAAGCGUCCGCAGGUGGCAAAUCGAGUCUGCCGUCAAAGACCGGGGCUUAACCCUGGAAAGGCGGUGGAAACUGAAUUGCUAGAGUGUCGUAGGGGUAGAGGGAAUUCCCGGUGUAGCGGUGAAAUGCGUAGAGCUCGGGAAGAACAUCGGUGGCGAAAGCGCUCUACUGGACGACAACUGACACUCAGGGACGAAAGCUAGGGGAGCGAAUGGG
rnacentral:rRNA from 1 species